CCUACGGGAGGCAGCAGUCGAGAAUCAUUCACAAUGGGGGAAACCCUGAUGGUGCGACGCCGCGUGGGGGAAUGAAGGUCUUCGGAUUGUAAACCCCUGUCAUGUGGGAGCAAAUCAAAAAGAUAGUACCACAAGAGGAAGAGACGGCUAACUCUGGGCCAGCCGCCGCGGUAAUACAGAGGUCUCAAGCGCUGUUCGGAAUCACUGGGCGUAAAGCGUGCGUAGGCUGUUUCGUAAGUCGGGUGGGAAAGGGUUGGGCUAAACCGGCGGACGGCACAUGAUACUGCGAGACUAGAGUAAUGGAGGGGGAACCGGAAUUCGCGGUGUAGCAGUGAAAUGCGUAGAUAUCGAGAGGAACACUCGUGGCGAAGGCGGGUUCCUGGACAUUAACUGACGCUGAGGCACGAAGGCCAGGGGAGCGAAAGGGAUUAGAUACCCCUGUAGUC
rnacentral:rRNA from 1 species